rnacentral:rRNA from 1 species
UUUUAAAGGAAGUUUUCGGAUGGAAUUUGAAAUGACUGAGCGGCGGACGGGUGAGUAACGCGUGGGUAACCUGCCUCAUACAGGGGGAUAACAGUUAGAAAUGACUGCUAAUACCGCAUAAGCACACAGUACCGCAUGGUACGGUGUGAAAAACUCCGGUGGUAUGAGAUGGACCCGCGUCUGAUUAGCUGGUUGGCGGGGUAACGGCCCACCAAGGCGACGAUCAGUAGCCGACCUGAGAGGGUGACCGGCCACAUUGGGACUGAGACACGGCCCAAACUCCUACGGGAGGCAGCAGUGGGGAAUAUUGCACAAUGGGGGAAACCCUGAUGCAGCAACGCCGCGUGAGUGAAGAAGUAUUUCGGUAUGUAAAGCUCUAUCAGCAGGGAAGAAAGUGACGGUACCUGACUAAGAAGCCCCGGCUAACUACGUGCCAGCAGCCGCGGUAAUACGUAGGGGGCAAGCGUUAUCCGGAUUUACUGGGUGUAAAGGGAGCGUAGACGGCACAGCAAGUCUGAAGUGAAAUCCCCGGGCUCAACCCGGGAACUGCUUUGGAAACUGUUGGGCUGGAGUGCUGGAGAGGCAAGCGGAAUUCCUAGUGUAGCGGUGAAAUGCGUAGAUAUUAGGAGGAACACCAGUGGCGAAGGCGGCUUGCUGGACAGUAACUGACGUUGAGGCUCGAAAGCGUGGGGAGCAAACAGGAUUAGAUACCCUGGUAGUCCACGCCGUAAACGAUGCAUACUAGGUGUCGGGGAGCAAAGCUUUCCGGUGCCGCCGCAGACGCAGUAAGUAUGCCACCUGG